UACGUAGGGUGCGAGCGUUGUCCGGAAUUAUUGGGCGUAAAGAGCUCGUAGGCGGUUUGUCGCGUCUGCUGUGAAAACUCGGGGCUUAACCCCGGGCCUGCAGUGGGUACGGGCAGACUAGAGUGCGGUAGGGGAGACUGGAAUUCCUGGUGUAGUGGUGAAAUGCGCAGAUAUCUGGAGGAACACCGGUGGCGAAGGCGGCAUCCUGGACCGACAUUGACGCUGAGGCGCGAAAGCCAGGGGAGCAAACGGG
rnacentral:rRNA from 1 species